UGAGCUCAAUGGAUCUUACAGGAAGGUAAGUAUAUUUUGGGUUGCUGCCAGGAUUCUGUUCUUCGUGGAAAUCCAACUUCCAUUGGCCAAAACAUCAUGUUCGGAGAAGCAGAAGUGAUGAGGACCCAUGAAUCAAGAGAGCAAGAACUUGGGUCCUCUUGGGACGAGGACACGAAGAAGGCCUUCUCUGGGUAGGAUCUAUGCAUCAAGUAGAGGUGCCAACUUUCCUGAGAGGCCAAGACAACCUCACCUCGAAUCACGUCUUUUUGGUGGGGUUGGUGUCCAAGACAACGAGGGAGACUGGUGGUGAGAUACAUCACAGUGCACAACAAUAGGCCCAUUGCACCACAUGCGUCUGGCUCAUUUGCCCUUCGACUCUCCAGGGAUCACAGCUUCUCUGAGGUUUGCCCAGUCCCAUGCAGGUAAGGCCCACUGAGCUCAAUGGAUCUUACAGGAAGGUAAGUAUAUGUUGGGUUGCUUCCAGGACUCUGUUCUUGGUUGGAAUCCAACUUCCAUUGGCCAAGAAGUCAUGUUCGGAGAAGCAGAUGUGCAGCGACAUAAUAGAAAACAGAACGAGCUGGUGAGUAAGACUGGAUAAAUUCAACGUGCUCCCUUUAUGAUCUGAAGAGGACCCAUCAGAAGGAUGUCAAUGCUUUUUUACAGGUCAUGUAGGAGUGGAGGAAAGAGCCAUACCCUUACACCUGGAUCAGGCAGUUCUACCUGUUGUGGCCUUCCUACUCAUACACACAACUGUUUCCUCUGUGAAGAGGACAUGGAGAAGACCCUGUCUGAAGAGGACCCAUGAGUCAAGAGAGCAAGAACUUGGGGCCGUACUUCACUGAGAGGCCAAGACAACCUCACCUCGAAUCAUGUCUUUUUGGUGAGGUAGGUCAUUAUGACAGUAACACUGGCUUCAACAAAUGAUCCAUUAUUUCUCAUAGAAAUCCUCUCGGAAGUCAGAAAACUGUGUCUCAAGAUGGCUUCUGACCUCAUCUGGGCAGUCGUUGGCAUGGGGGUUAUGACAUGGACUUCUCUAUGAACAUAUGGAAUCUUCUACAUUCAUGAGAUUCCAU